AAGUCGUAACAAGGUUUCCGUAGGUGAACCUGCGGAAGGAUCAUUAUCGAUUCGUCGGAUGUGCUGGCGCUCCUGCGCAUGUGCACUCUGUCAACCCCUCAUACACCUGUGCACUUCGGACGCGUACUCCCUUGCGGGUUUACGGCGUACUUCACAAAACCUUAUGAACUUGACCAGUAGAGUGUUGAUACAAUAAAACUGUACAACCAUCAGCAACGGAUCUCUUGGCAUCCCAAUCGAUGAAGAACGUAGCGAAUUGCGAUAAGUAAUGUGAAUUGCAGAAUUCAGUGAAUCAUCGAAUCUUUGAACGCACCUUGCACCUUCUGGUAUUCCGGAGGGUAUGCUCGGUUGAGUGUUUUGAAUAUCUCAAUCUCUUGGCUUUUAUAUGGCCCUGCGCGUCGUGAUCCUGUCCAGAGGGGCAGCUUCGUGCGUGUGGGGUGAAGUCUUGAGACUUGGACUUGAGUCUCUGCCGGCCCUGUCGGCUUGCUCGAAAUGCAUUAGCCGGACCAUACGUGGGCUCCAUUUUGGUGUGAUAAGUCUUUCAUCGCCGCUUGGAUCUGCUUGUUGGCCGCUUCCAAUCGUCCUCGGACAAUUCGAUCUUUACACCUCAACUCGAGUAGGACUACCCGCUGAACUUAAGCAUAUCAUUAAGCGGAGGAAAAGAAACUAACAAGGAUUCCCCUAGUAACGGCGAGUGAAGCGGGAAGAGCCCAAAUUUGAAAUCUGGCGGUCUUCGGCCGUCCGAGUUGUAAAUUAGAGAAGCGUUUUCCGCGCUGGACCUAUCAUAAGUUACCUUGAAUGGUGCUCCAUAGAGGGUGAAAGUCCCGUGCUUUGAUAGGAACCACCAGGGCUAUGUGAUGCGCUCUCGACGAGUCGAGUAGUUUGCGAAUGCUGCUCUAAAUGGGAGGUAAAUUCCUUCUAAGGCUAAAUAUCUUGGGAUGACCGAUAGCGAACAAGUACCGUGAGGGAAAGAUGAAAAGAACUUUGGAAAGAGAGUUAAACAGUACGUGAAAUUGCUGGUGGGGAAACGCUUGAAGUCAGUCGCGUCUUCUGGGAUUCAGCCCUGCUUCUGCUGGGUGCACUUCCUAGUCGAUGGGCCAGCGUCCAUUUCGAUCGUUGGAAAAGGGCGGAUUGAACGUGGCAGCUUCGGCUGUGUUAUAGCUUUCCGUCGCACACCUCGGUUGGGAUGGAUCUAACGGCAUGCUUUUGCGGUGCCUGUGCUGGCGUAAUGGCUUUAAACGACC
rnacentral:rRNA from 1 species